AUGUCUGUGGCCCGUGCCCUCCCUCAGCAGGCAGGGCUGGUCUCUAGAAAUGCUUUGGGUUCAUCCUUCAUGGCUGCAAGGAACCUCCAUGCCUCUCACAUUCAUCUUCAGAAGACUGGCACUGCUGAGAUGUCCUCUAUUCUUGAAGAGCAUAUCCUUGGAGCUGAUAUCUCUGCUGAUCUUGAUAAAACUAGGCAUGUCUUAAGUAGAGGUGAUGGUAUUGCCCAAGGACAUGGGCUGAGGAACAUUCAAGCAGAAAAAAUGGUAGAGUGGUCUUCAGGCUUAAAGAGUAGGUCUAUGAACAUGGAGUCUGACAAUGUUGGUGUUGUCAUGUUUGGAAAUGAUCAACUAACUACAAUACUGUGAAGAGGACCAGAGCCAGGAAUCAUUCCUUGAAUUUCUGUGAGGGAAUCGGCGAAGACCGGCAUGAAGCCUGUGGCUAGCUUGGUGCCAAUUGGUCGUGGUCAGUAUGAGCUGAUCACUACUGCCAGACACACUGAGAACACAUUUCAAUCAUGGAUCUGAUGAAAAGAAGAGAUUCUACCGAAUCUGUGUUGCUGUUGGUCAAGAGAGAUCCACUGUUGCCCAGUAGGUGAAGAGGCAGAUGGCAUGAAGUACACCAUCGAGGUGUCAGCUGGGGCUCUGGAUGCUGCCCCCCUGCAGCACUCAGCUCCUUAUUCUGAACGUUCUAUGGUAGAGUAUUUUAGAGAUAAUGGCAAACUUGCUUUGGUCAUCUACGAUGACUUGCCCAAACAGGCUGCUGCUUACCAUCAGAUAUCUCUGCUGCUCUACACACCCGUUGGUCACGAGGCCUGUCCCAGUGAUGUGUUCUACCCACGUUCCCAGUUGCUGGAGAGAGCAGCCAAGAUGAAUGAUGCUUCUGGUGGUGGCUCCUUGAUUGCUCUUCCAGUCAUAAAACACCGGCUGCUAACGUGUCUGAUUACAUUGCAAUGAGUGUCAUUUCCAUCACUGAUGGACAGAUCUUGGAAACAGAAUUGUUCUAGAAAGGUAUCUGCCCCACCAUUAACAUUGGUUCAUCUGUGUCCUGUGUCAGAUCUGCUGCCCAAAUCAGGGCUAUGAAGCAGGUGGCAGGUACCAUGAAGCUGGAAUUGGCUCAGUAUUGUUGCCGCUUUUGCCCAAUUUUGUUCUCACCUUGAUUCUGCCACUCCACGAUGCUUCAGUUGUGGUGUGUGAGCUGACUGAGUUACUGAAGCAAGGGCAAUAGUCUCCCAUGGCUAUUGAAAAACAAGUGGCUUACACCUAUCAAGGUGAAAAGGGGUAUUUUGAUAAACUGGAGCCCAGCAAGAUCACAAAGUUUGAGAAUGCUUUCUCAUGUCAUGUUAUCAGCCAACACCAAGCCCUGUUGGACAAUAUCAAGGCUGACAGAAAGCUCUCAGAAAAGUCGGAUGAAAAGCUGAAAGGGAUUGUAACAAACUUCUUGGCUGGAUUUGAAGCUUAAACUCCUAUGGAUUUACAUGAAAUAGCAGUUUGGUUUUGUCAUUUUUUUUCUCCUAGUAAAUCAGUUCCAUUUGUAAAAGGAUUACUCUCAUACUCCUGAUGUACAGAAAUCACGUUAAAAAUAAAGGUUCCAUAUGGCAU